CCGAGGCCGAACCGGGGGCCGAGCCGGGGGCCGAGCAGGGGGCCGCACAGAGAGAUCAUGACAACGCUGGACGAAAACACAGAGCGAACUGAAUCUAACCGACGUGAUCACGAGUUUGAAGCAACGUGAAGAAGCUGCCAAAGCUGGGUGUACUGGAGCUCCACUAAGUCGGGGCUCGCGUCUGCGGCUGGAUCCUUAAAGUAGAGUGUGGCAGUGUCUUCCCCCCGCUGGCCCGUCCGCCGGGCCCUGUGCUCGGUCACCUC